rnacentral:rRNA from 1 species
UAACCUGCCUCAUACACAUGGAUAACAUACCGAAAGGUAUGCUAAUACAAGAUGAUAUAAGAGAUUCGCAUGGAUUUCUUAUCAAAGCUCCGGCGGUAUGAGAUGGACCCGCGUCUGAUUAGCUAGUUGGUAAGGUAAUGGCUUACCAAGGCGACGAUCAGUAGCCGACCUGAGAGGGUGAUCGGCCACAUUGGAACUGAGACACGGUCCAA